rnacentral:tRNA from 1 species
GUGUUUAUUAAAGAUUAGCCUAGUGGACAUGGCAUCUGCCCGGUAAGCGGAACUUUGUGGGUUCGAUUCUCAUCCCUGGACACU